rnacentral:rRNA from 1 species
AGUCGAACGAGCUUCCGUUGAAUGACGUGCUUGCACUGAUUUCAACAAUGAAGCGAGUGGCGAACUGGUGAGUAACACGUGGGGAAUCUGCCCAGAAGCAGGGGAUAACACUUGGAAACAGGUGCUAAUACCGUAUAACAACAAAAUCCGCAUGGAUUUUGUUUGAAAGGUGGCUUCGGCUAUCACUUCUGGAUGAUCCCGCGGCGUAUUAGUUAGUUGGUGAGGUAAAGGCCCACCAAGACGAUGAUACGUAGCCGACCUGAGAGGGUAAUCGGCCACAUUGGGACUGAGACACGGCCCAAACUCCUACGGGAGGCAGCAGUAGGGAAUCUUCCACAAUGGACGAAAGUCUGAUGGAGCAAUGCCGCGUGAGUGAAGAAGGGUUUCGGCUCGUAAAACUCUGUUGUUAAAGAAGAACACCUUUGAGAGUAACUGUUCAAGGGUUGACGGUAUUUAACCAGAAAGCCACGGCUAACUACGUGCCAGCAGCCGCGGUAAUACGUAGGUGGCAAGCGUUGUCCGGAUUUAUUGGGCGUAAAGCGAGCGCAGGCGGUUUUUUAAGUCUGAUGUGAAAGCCUUCGGCUUAACCGGAGAAGUGCAUCGGAAACUGGGAGACUUGAGUGCAGAAGAGGACAGUGGAACUCCAUGUGUAGCGGUGGAAUGCGUAGAUAUAUGGAAGAACACCAGUGGCGAAGGCGGCUGUCUAGUCUGUAACUGACGCUGAGGCUCGAAAGCAUGGGUAGCGAACAGGAUUAGAUACCCUGGUAGUCCAUGCCGUAAACGAUGAGUGCUAAGUGUUGGAGGGUUUCCGCCCUUCAGUGCUGCAGCUAACGCAUUAAGCACUCCGCCUGGGGAGUACGACCGCAAGGUUGAAACUCAAAGGAAUUGACGGGGGCCCGCACAAGCGGUGGAGCAUGUGGUUUAAUUCGAAGCUACGCGAAGAACCUUACCAGGUCUUGACAUCUUCUGCCAAUCUUAGAGAUAAGACGUUCCCUUCGGGGACAGAAUGACAGGUGGUGCAUGGUUGUCGUCAGCUCGUGUCGUGAGAUGUUGGGUUAAGUCCCGCAACGAGCGCAACCCUUAUUAUCAGUUGCCAGCAUUCAGUUGGGCACUCUGGUGAGACUGCCGGUGACAAACCGGAGGAAGGUGGGGAUGACGUCAAAUCAUCAUGCCCCUUAUGACCUGGGCUAC